rnacentral:misc_RNA from 1 species
GAUGAAGAACGCAGCGAAUUGCGAUAUGUAAUGUGAAUUGCAGAAUUCAGUGAAUCAUCGAAUCUUUGAACGCACAUUGCACCCUCUGGUAUUCCGGAGGGUAUGCCUGUUUGAGUGUCAUUAAUAUGUCAACACAGGCAAGUUUGUCAAGACUUGCUCUGCUGUUUGGAUGUUGAAGGCUUGCUGGCAUUGACGUGUUCUGUCAGCUCCUUUUAAAUUCAUUAGCAGGAACCUUGCAGGACUGGCUUCAGUUUGAUAAGAUUGAACUGUCGUUAGAAUGCGCUUUUGCUGUUCCGGCUUCUAAUUGUCUGGUAAAACUGGACUGUCUCGCUCUGAGACAUUUACAUUUGACAACUUGGCCUCAAAUCAGGUAGGACUACCCGCUGAACUUAAGCAUAUCAAUAAGCGGAGGA